rnacentral:rRNA from 1 species
GGCGAACGCUGGCGGCGCGCCUAACACAUGCAAGUCGAACGGAGUCAAGAGGAGCUUGCUUUUCUUGACUUAGUGGCGAACGGGUGAGUAACGCGUGAGUAACCUGCCCUGGAGUGGGGGACAACAGUUGGAAACGACUGCUAAUACCGCAUAAGCCCACGGAUCCGCAUGGAUCUGCGGGAAAAGGAUUUAUUCGCUUCAGGAUGGACUCGCGUCCAAUUAGCUAGUUGGUGAGGUAACGGCCCACCAAGGCGACGAUUGGUAGCCGGACUGAGAGGUUGAACGGCCACAUUGGGACUGAGACACGGCCCAGACUCCUACGGGAGGCAGCAGUGGGGGAUAUUGCACAAUGGGGGAAACCCUGAUGCAGCGACGCCGCGUGGAGGAAGAAGGUUUUCGGAUUGUAAACUCCUGUCGUUAGGGACGAUAAUGACGGUACCUAACAAGAAAGCACCGGCUAACUACGUG